AGUUAUUUAGCUUAUACAAAGCUUAUAUUUUGAAAAUAUAGGAAAGAUUCAAUUUAAUAACUU
rnacentral:tRNA from 2 species